CCCUAGCCUGAGUGACAGAGUGAGGUCCUGUCUCAAACGAACAAACAACAACAACACAGAACCUUAGGCAAUCUAACAAAAAUGUAGUUUUGGUCAAUUUUUGCUAUUUUAAAUUCCUGAUUUUUCUUUACAUUCUAAUGCAAAGGGAAAUGAAAGCACUGGUGAGACCUAGGCUGGAGGGGCCUGCCCUCGGCCUACUGUAUGUUACCUCUGGGUGACCUCUGCAAAAUCUCCAGAGGCAUCUUGGGUGAGGAAUAAGCCAAUGUGAGCAUCUCAGAAAAGGUUUUCACUUUAGGCCUUCCUGAAGCAAGAGCCUAAGAGAGUUGGGAUAGAGCAGGAGCACAUCAUGCUCUCUUAAGCAUUUCCCACCAAGUGACCUGGAUACAGGGCUGUCUCUAGGGUGUGGGUGCUUGGCUACCAGAGUUCUAAGUUUUGUUGGGGUCUGUCACCAAGGUAGUAAGAUGGCUUUUUCAAAGUUUCAUCCUCUGGGCUCCUGGCUUCCAUAAGACCUACCCAAAGGCCCUGCUGGGCUAUUGACUGCUCACUAUCCCUGCAUGUCAACUCUUUACCUGUGCACAGUUAUGCAAGUACAGCCCUUCUCAGUUCCCUGGAAAGACCUGAAUGCAGCCAGGGCCUCAGGUGUGAGAUCACAGAUCCAGGUAACAAUCUACUUUUUCUUACUAGUUCUGUGACACCAGAAAAGUUAUUGUGGGUUUUGGGGCCUUUCAACAUGUACAAUGGGGUAACAUGCCAGCAUCUCCUUCCUAGGGAACUCAUCAGGUGUGUAUGAGAUAAAACUUGUAAAACUCAUGGUGUGGCAUCCCACGUAGAUAACGCACACACUUAGAGAUAAAAGAAUUAUAAGGAAUGGGAGGUAGCAUAAAAUACAAUUCAAACAAGCCUGUGUCCAGCAGUGUGUUAUUGGAAAGUCACUUCCCCUCUCAGCCCCAUUUUUCAUUCUGCACCAGUAAGAGUUUCCGAUGAAAUGAAAUUCAGAUAUUGUCAUCCUCUGACAUUACUCCUUUCAGUGCCUUCUCAUUAUAUUCAGAAUCAGACCCAUGUCCUUCAUUUUGGCCUAUGUGUUGGGCAGCCUAUAGGAAGGGCUCACAACACUAAGGAGUUAGUGACUCACUUCUGACCAACAGAAUGCAACGAAAAUGAUGGGAUAACACUUCUGUCCUAGGUCACGCUGUUAUAGCAAAGAUAGACUGAGCCGCUUAUCAACAACAGAAUGUUCUUCUUCACAGUUCUGGAGGACAGAAGUUGAAGAUCAGAACGCCAGCAUGGAUGGAGUCUGGACAGAGGCUCCCUUUUCCUACAGUUGGAAUGAGGGAUGGGGAGAUUUGAUGGUGUCCUGUACAAGUUGGAUGUUAAUUUGACGUGGUGCUGCUGGAGAAGCUUGCCUGAGUCAGGCACAUUCUCAGCACGUGGUAUGUGCUGCCCCUUCAAAGCUGCAGGAGUCUCAGAAGUUAUGCUGGCUUCUAUCCACAGCUGCACUCCAGGUGGGGAAUACCUAUGGAUGCACCAGGGUGCAACUACUCAAAGACUCCAGUGUGCAGAAGGGCCCCUGCUCCAUGUUGUUCCCAUAUCCAAGCCCAAGCUCAUCUAGGACUUCAGCAAACCCAAGCUUCCCUGAAUUCCCUGCUGAGACCAAACUGAGCCCUGUGACCCACACUACUACACUGGCUGGAAGGGGGACUCCAGAAACUUGGGAAACCCAGGCUUACAGCUGGCAUAUGGAAAACAGGCCUGGAAGAGCACCACUCCUGUCCAUGAAGCCCCCCAGAUGAAACCAGGAGGGAGGAACAUCUGACCCCACGCACAAGUGGAGACACUAGGUGUGGGCAGGUCCCAGUGGUUGCUGCAGGUGAACCUUCCCAACCAACCACACAAGGCCAUCUCAGGUUCGGGGAGUAGGGGGACCUCUCCCACUCCUUCCAGGAGCCACGUCUUUCAAGAUGAGGCACUCUGCCUCCCUGUUCCCAUUUGGCCCCAAUAGGCCAUUGCCAACAUUCAGAGAACAAAAAGAAAGGAGCCUCACCCGUUUUCCCUGACACAUCGGAGGCAGGGAGGAGAUACCAAGAGGUCAUCACACAGGCCAUGGACGAGUUCUACAAGAGCCAGGUAGAAGAGAACUGUCCAGGCAUGCUGCCCAGCACCCAGCUCACACACGCAUCUCUUAUUUGAAGCUUCCCCAAAGCAGGUCUUGAAGUCCAGCCUCCCUGAGAAGCUGCGGAGGAGACUCGGCUGAGCUAAAGGGCCUAUCACCAAAUGUGCCACCCUUGCUUGUCUCAUCCUGGCAAUCUUGGAUUAUUUUUGCCCUGAAAUUUUGGAGCAGGGGACAGGGAAGACAGAAGACAGUGUGUAUCAGCCCUCCAGACUGAGGCAGGUCAGACCUCCACUCGGGUACUUUUCUCCUCACUAGUUGCCAGCUGGGGGAAGCAGCACUUGUGAGCACCUGCCUGUCUCCCCAGGUCCUGUUGAGAAACCCCAUCUGUGCCUUUAGAGACUGCCCAGAUUACACAGACCCAGCAACCGCAUCUACAGCCCCCAGGGCCUAUCCCUUUCUACAUGGGUUUCACUGCAUGUGAGUACACGGUGGGCUUGAUUCCUGCCCACUACUCCCUGCCAGAUACCCCAUGCCCUCCUCAUGAAGAAAAUGAGGCCACACGGACACACUCAACCCAUCAUGGUGAGAGGGUGGCUGAGGCUCUACUUGCCUACCCUUCAUUGCUGGUUCAGGGCCAGCUGUCUGGCCAUAUCCCUACCCAGAGGUGGGACUUUGGGGACAUUGUCCACCGGGAUCACUGGCCACUUUUAAAGUUCCAAAAACAGAAGAUCAGCUAGUCCCCUCAGAGUUCAGUACAUGGGAUAAGCUGCAGCUUGCCUUCAGGAACAGGUUUCCCACCAAGUAGAUGCCCAAGGCCCAGGGCACGCCCAAGUUUGUGUGAAGCCUGUCUGCCAUGUCCAAAGCCCAUGCUGACCCCCCCAACCCUGGAGCCACUGGAAUGCUUGUUCCUGGGCAUAUAAGACCAAGAUAGCUGCAGCCUUGCAGGACCACUAUGCCCAUCUGGCAGCAGCACCCAGAGGGCCUAGAGAAAGAAGUUGGAGGUGAAACCAGAUGCUGUUAGGAUGUUUUAUCAGGCAAAACCACAUACUAUAAAAAGGCUUUAAAAUGCAACAGAAGGAGAUGUGAAGACACAAACAAGUGCCUAGUGACACAUGGCUAUCAGAACACAUUAGAGAAUCCACACCACUUCCCCCCUUUAACCAGAAAGGGCAGGCUUUAGGCCACCUCCUCC